rnacentral:ncRNA from 1 species
UCAAAAUCGAUGAACAGAAGAGUAAUCAUGAAAGCGGUCGAAAGCGAGCGAACGAGGGUGGAAGGUUCGCGGCCAAGGCAUGAUGAAGCGCAUCUGGGAGAUGGAAUUCUGAACAAAAUAGGAAUUCACGUGUUUCCGCGUUAAGGAUUGAGGGGGUUGGCAUUAACUGUCAGCAACUAGAAUGGUACCGCGAUCAAUCGUUUCUAGA